AGGCAAUGUUGUGGACACUUCCACAAGAUAUCCUUGAAUGGUUCCCAUGUCUCAAACAAUGAUUCUAGAUCCAUCUGAACACAUGAAGAGAUCUCAUUUCGAAGCUU